GGAGUACGAUCGCAAGAUUAAACUCAAAGGAAUUGACGGGGCCCCGCACAAGCAGCGGAGCAUGCGGCUUAAUUCGACGCAACGCGAAGAACCUUACCAAGGCUUGACAUAUACAGGAAUAUGGCAGAGAUGUCAUAGCCGCAAGGUCUGUAUACAGGUGGUGCAUGGUUGUCGUCAGCUCGUGUCGUGAGAUGUUGGGUUAAGUCCCGCAACGAGCGCAACCCUCGUUCUGUGUUGCCAGCAUUUAGUUGGGGACUCACAGGAGACUGCCGGGGUUAACUCGGAGAAGGUGGGGAUGACGUCAAAUCAUCAUGCCCCUUAUGUCUUGGGCUGCACGCAUGCUACAAUGGCUGGUACAAACGGCUGCGAUACCGCAAGGUGGAGCGAAUCCGAGAAAGCCAGUCUCAGUUCGGAUUGGGGUCUGCAACUCGACCCCAUGAAGUCGGAGUUGCUAGUAAUCGUAGAUCAGCAACGCUACGGUGAAUACGUUCCCGGGGCUUGUACACACCGCCCGUCACAUCACGAAAGUCGGUAACACCCAAAGUCAGUGGCCCAACCGCAAGGAGGGAGCUGCCAAAGGUGGGAUCGGUGAUUGGGAUG
rnacentral:rRNA from 1 species